AUGGGAGUUUUGUACCUAAGGAUAGAUUGUGAUACAAUGACUCUUGACAUGGGUGAGGCUAAUAAGAUGCUUCGCAUCACUAGCGAUGGUAUACAACAAUUAUUUGGUUUCCCUCGUGGUGGUCGUACUGCGCCAAGGCCGUCAGAGGACGGAUAUGACAAUGCUCUGAUGAAGUUAAGAUCGGAGCUUGACAUUAGCAGGGACAAAGAUAUCAAGACAAAGGAUUUGAGGAAUAAGCUCAAGGUGCUCGUCAAGGAUCCUAGCAAAGAUGACCUUGCUCUGAAAGUGUUCUUCAUGAUUGUGUUUAUGAAGGUUGUGUUGCUUGGUUCUGCCCCGCGUGUUUCCAGAGAGGCAGCAAUGUUUGAGGGUCUCGUCUUUGAGGACAUGGCUAAUAUGGAUUAUUGCCAGCUGAUGGUUGAUGAGCUUAGAAGGGCUGUUGCCAAGUACCAAAAUGGUGAUACCAUGGGGAAGGCAAUCACAGGCUAUGCCAUAGGGCCUGUACUAAUGUACCUUGACUGCCUUAUCCGUGGAAAGACUGCGGAGCAUGACAUGCGAGUCCCCCGCAUAUGUUUCAUGGAUCCUGCCAAGCUUUCUGAUUUGGUUGAUGCAGAUUUGAUAAAAAAAGGCAAUGCAGAUCCAAAGACUUGGGUGUUUGGGAAGCUUCCCUAA
rnacentral:rRNA from 1 species